GUACUAAUAUGCGCAUGUAUCUGUGUGUGGGUGCGUGCGAGAGUCCACAUAACCAAACAAAGACAUGAGAUAAGUGAAGAAAACGGCUGGUAAACAGCCAUCUUGUACGCCUCACAUACGUAUGUAUGUGGCUCUCACCCAAAGGCAUAACUGAAAUGGAGACGAAUAAUAUAUAGAGAGAGCGAGAAGCACUGAUAAAUAUUUAUUAGCUGUUCAUGCGCGAAUCAAUUAAAGCUUGAUUGCUAAAAAUUGCGUGCAAAAUAACAACAGAGGAGGGGACAUCGAUUUGUUUUGUUGACAUGUUCGACCAGACAAAUCUGGCAACGCUCGUUGCACAUAGCACAAAUGCAAUUUUUUUUAACAAUGUCACCUUUAUUAUACUUACAGCAUAUGUAUGUAUGUAAUUGAGAAGUAUGUGUUUUCAUUGUAGAGUCGCUUUAAAUGUCAUUCGCUUUUACUUCUCGAUUAUCGUUAAUUUUUUAACAAGUGCCGUAAUUUAUACAUCAAACUGCUUGCACUUGUCAGGCAAUGCAACUGCUUCGUUGCGACGGCGUCUGGAUCUUUCUAGGCGUCUGCAUGCAAACAAACGGGGCUUUGUGCAGUUAUAAUGCGGUAAAUAUUUUUGUGUGUAUGUAUAUGUUCCUUAUCAUAAUGUCCAUAUCCGACGAGUGCUCACAUCAUCAGCGUUAUUCGCUCUUGUUCUUUGCUUAUCUCGUUGCUAAAACAAACAUAAUAAUUUGAAAAAACUCGACCCUUAUGACUUCGUGUAGUUGCAAGAAGCUAAGCAAUUCUAAUAGGAGCAGAAAGACCGGUUUGUUUGUUAGCUGCGUCAUUUAUAUUUACUGCUGCGUUUGUCAUCCGGUUAGAAGCUUCAACCGCAAAGUGCAACUUUGUCUAAAACCUUAAAAAAAUGUAUUUGGUCCACUGUGCGCAUACAUUACAUCACAAACAAAACAACACAGCACACAAAUAUGCACAUACACGCACAUACAAAUUAAUGUGAAGGGGCAAUUCAUGUACAUAUUUACAAACAAUGGAAAUUUCCACUCACCAUGCAACUCAGCUGUGUGGCAAGUGAGCUUCGUACAUAGAUGUGUGUGAGUGAGAGAGAGCGUGUUUUCGUUGGCUUGCUUGCAUGUUUAUGUGUAUGUGUGAAACAAGCGUUGCCAGCACAGCUCAAUAUUGGGUCAAUUGACUAAUGAAGCAGAGAAGAGCUUUCCAUAGAAUAAUAGAAUAGAAAUAAGAGAAAAACAAAACCACUUCAGCAACUACUGACUCAUAAGGUCACAAAUUUAAUGGAGGCUGCAUUUUUUUUCCACUGCACGUUUACGUUUUUAUUAUCUUAUCAUCAUGAUAAACAUCAUAAAACUGUCAAGUUGCUUAUCGUUGGCUGCUUUUCUUAUUGCUAUAAUAAUAAUGAAAAU